ensembl:snRNA U1 U1 spliceosomal RNA
AUACUUACCUGGCAGGGGAGAUACCAUGAUCACGAAGGUGGUUUUCCCAGGGCGAGGCUUAUCCAUUGCACUCCGGAUAUGCUGACCCCUGCGAUUUCCCCAAAUGUGGGAAACUCGACUGCAUAAUUUGUGGUAGUGGGGGACUGCGGAAAAAAAACAAAAAACAAACAAACAAAAAAACCCAUU